rnacentral:rRNA from 1 species
UACGAAGGGGGCUAGCGUUGCUCGGAAUCACUGGGCGUAAAGGGUGCGUAGGCGGGUCUUUAAGUCAGGGGUGAAAUCCUGGAGCUCAACUCCAGAACUGCCUUUGAUACUGAGGAUCUUGAGUUCGGGAGAGGUGAGUGGAACUGCGAGUGUAGAGGUGAAAUGCGUAGAUAUGUGGAGGAACACCUGUGGCGAAGGCGCCUUGCUGGCCAAUUUCUGACGCUGAGGCGCGAAAGCGUGGGGAGCAAACAGG